rnacentral:misc_RNA from 1 species
GAAAUGCGAUAAGUAGUGUGAAUUGCAGAAUUCAGUGAAUCAUCGAAUCUUUGAACGCACAUUGCGCCCCUUGGUAUUCCAUGGGGCAUGCCUGUUCGAGCGUCAUUUGUACCCUCAAGCUCUGCUUGGUGUUGGGUGUUUGUCCCGUCUCCGCGCGUGGACUCGCCCCAAAGUGAUUGGCAGCCGGCGUACUGGUCCCGGAGCGCAGCACAUGUCGCGCAAACGAGUGCCUUGGUUCGGCGGCGUCCAUAAGCCCCUCUCUCACGCUCUUGACCUCGGAUCAGGUAGGGAUACCCGCUGAACUUAAGC